CUACAGAGGGUGCGAGCGUUAAUCGGAAUUACUGGGCGUAAAGCGCGCGUAGGCGGCUUAUUAAGUCAGAUGUGAAAUCCCCGGGCUCAACCUGGGAACUGCAUCUGAUACUGGUAAGCUAGAGUUUUGGAGAGGGAAGUAGAAUUUCAGGUGUAGCGGUGAAAUGCAUAGAGAUCUGAAGGAAUACCAGUGGCGAAGGCGACUUCCUGGCCAAAAACUGACGCUGAGGUGCGAAAGCGUGGGUAGCAAACGGGAUUAGAUACCCCAGUAGUCC
rnacentral:rRNA from 1 species